ACACAUGCAAGUCGAGGGGCGCAUCAGUGCUUGACUGGAUGGCGACGGCACACGGGUGAGUAACGCGUAUGAACCUGCCUGUACGUGGAGGAUAGCCCGUGGAAGCGAGUAUAAAAACUGCGUAACAUAUAUUUAGCGCAUGGUAUAUAUAUCAAAACCACGGUGGGUACAGAUGGGCAUGCGUGCCAUUAGCUAGAUGGUAAGGUAACGGCUCACCAUGGCUUCGAUGGCUAGGGGUUCUGCAAGGAAGGCCCCCCACACUGGUACUGAGACACGGACCAGACUCCUACGGGAGGCAGCAGUGAGGAAUAUUGGUCAAUGGGGGAAACCCUGAACCAGCCAAGCCGCGUGAAGGAAGACUGUCCUAUGGAUUGUAAACUUCUUUUUUGGCAGAAUAAAUUACCGUACUCGUACGGUAUUGCAUGUAUGCCAAGAAUAAGCAUCGGCUAACUCCGUGCCAGCAGCCGCGGUAAUACGGAGGAUGCAGGCGUUAUCCGGAUUUAUUAGGUUUAAAGGGUGUUCAGGCUGCCUGGUAAGUCAGUGGUGAAAGUCGGCAGCUCAACUGCCGAAUUGCCUUUGAAACUGUCAGGCUCGAGUAUGGAUGCGGCAGGCGGAAUGUGUAGUGUAGCGGUGAAAUGCAUAGAUAUUACACAGAACCCCGAUUGCGAAGGCAGCUUGCCAAACCAUUACUGACGCUGAAGCACGAAAGCGUGGGUAGCGAACAGGAUUAGAUACCCUGGUAGUCCACGCCGUAAACUUUGCUCACUC
rnacentral:rRNA from 1 species